rnacentral:rRNA from 11 species
CAAGCGAACCCGCUGAACUGAAACAUCUAAGUAGGCGGAGGAAGAGAAAACAAGAGUGAUUCCGAGAGUAGUGGCGAGCGAAAUCGGAUCGGCCCAAACCGUUGUUGUUCCGGCAAUGACGGGGUUGUAGGACCACAAUGUUCUUUGCGCGACGAACCGGAAGCAGUUGGAAAGCUGCACGAUAUGGGUGACAGUCCCGUACGGGCAAGGAGCGUUAAAGAUAGUGGUAUCCUGAGUAGCGCGGGGCACGUGAAACCCUGUGUGAAUCCGGCGGGACCAUCCGCCAAGGCUAAAUACUCCUGAGAGACCGAUAGUGAACCAGUACCGUG